AAUGGUGUUGCUAUAAGGUUUGACCCUUUGAUAACUCUUGGUGGAUUAAGUGUCCCUAAUCAAGACAUCCAUUUUAGAUUACAUUCAAAGGAUCUUGUUUGUGUAUUAUUUUGAAUACUGUGAGACCUGGCUAUUCCCGGACAGUGGCUGAAAUGGCUUUCCAAGUAUGGGGCCUUCAGACUGCACCCUAGAUCUAAGACCUAGGAGCCUGCCUCAGUCUGAGAAGUUUCUCAAAAAAAAAAAAAGGAGGGGGCAUUACUUCCCAAUUAACUCAAUUAACUUCUUCUGGUGUUUAAGAAGCUACCAGGAAAUUAACCAAAUAAGGUCUCCUGCCUACUGUCUAUGUCUGAGGAACUCCGGGCCCUGGAAGUGAUUUCUUAAAGAAUGUACUAACCAACCUCAGGACUGCAAUUAGGUUCUACCAAGGAGAGGAAUGACAUCAGAGAAGGAGCCAUCUGUUUCCUGCUGAGCCCCCAACAGAGACACUUUCCAAUCAAGAAUGUACUGCAGCGAAUUCAAGAAGUACCAGUGUGGAACAUUAUAAGUGCCUCUGGGAGCAUCAACAGAAUAUUCAACAGAAUUUUCAUUUGUGAAUAUGGCUCGCACCAACAAAGGUACAGGGUCUCUCACUGAACCCAGGACAAGGCAGCCAUCUUCCAUCGAUGGGAUGGAGUUAACAAGCAGGUGUGUGUGUGACCACACCGGGUUUUCCCACGGGUGCUGAUGACUUGAACUCAGGGCCUUCAACUUGUCUAAAAGUAUCCUCCCACUUCUCGUGAUCUGUGGGAAAGAAUACAAAGUGUGAACAGAUAAGGAAAAUACACAAAGAAAUACAAAGUAGCAAGCCCAGCUCAGAAAAGUCCCAUGCUGCCAAAUGGUCAGGAAGGUUUAAUUUUGUCCAAAAAAAAAAAAAGUCUGAAAAGCUGUAACAAAGCCCAAAAGCCAAGGUGCCACAUGUAGGCUGCAGAUGUGAACAGCGGCAGAAACCGUCCUUUCUCUGGGUUGAUGUAAAAAGACAACCCAAGAGUCUCACCGAGGCACACGCAAAACCAGCCAGGAAUGACGCUUUGAAGCCAUCCUUUAAAUGAACUGUCUCGGUGUCCUACAGUUCAUCAAAGGUUUCCUGUCUCUGAAAGGUCAGCCUCAUAUCCCUUACCCUUUCUGAAUCUCAGUCUCCUUUCAGCUCUUCACUGACAAACGGCGAGCAGGGGCCUCUUCGUCCUAACAAUCUCGAUUGCACAGUUCACAGAUUCUUAAGAUAAAUCACUACGCGAAUAUCAUAUACAGUCUUUGGUCUGUCUCACGGGUCUAUGUUAAAAAAUAAAAAUAAAAACCAAUACUUUUGUAAUAGCGAGGGGGUGUUGAAACCCUGAUUAAAUAAAGUGAGGUUAAAAACUCGGGAAGACA
rnacentral:sRNA from 1 species